CCUGGCGGCGAUAGCGCGGUGGUCCCACCUGACCCCAUGCCGAACUCAGAAGUGAAACGCCGUAGCGCCGAUGGUAGUGUGGGGUCUCCCCAUGUGAGAGUAGGAAACUGCCAGGC
rnacentral:rRNA from 1 species